CCGAUGGGACAGACGCAGCUCAUGAUGUUGUCGAUGACCAUACAGUUGCCGCCGUUCUCACAGGGGUUGUUCUGGCAAGGGUCUACAUCUGCUCAUGGACGUUAUAACAGGGCUUGCCGUGAUUCGGUCGCCAGGAUGACGAAUAAGCAGCUGUACUCAGUGCACACCACCCACGGGGCAACGAAAACUGUUUGGUGACAUUCUAUUAACUGAGGGGUGACCGAACAUUGCCACAAACGUAUAAUCCAGAGCAAGGAUUGUCAGAUACCACAUCGCAAUAUAGAUCUUUAUAAUAUACAACUUUAUUUUUGCUCAGCUACUAAAUAUAUAUAUACAAGAUGAGAAAAACGAAAAUGAACACUCAUCACAAUAGACCACUUAACUGGCUAUCUUAUAUGUGAAAUUUAUACACCAUGAAGGUAAAGGUGGUAUCUCAUUGCACUUUGGGCACCGGUGCGGCACUGCAGGGUUCGUUUACUGCGGCA